rnacentral:lncRNA from 1 species
UUUUCUUUUAGAGUUAUAGGAUACAUAGCAUUAGAUGUGUUUGAUAAUGAAAUUCGAGUGAUGGAGUCAUUUUAUAGGUCUUAUAUGAUCUCUAGGGCAUCCUCUAGGGUUUGUAUGGUUGUAUUACAUGAUUGACCAAGGUCAUGGGUUCAGGACAUGACAUAAUCCAUUCAACAUAUUGGGCUAGAUAACCAAUAGGAUAUAACAUAGUAGAUAAAUAAUUUCUAUCC